AUAAAGAAAUAUGAUCUAUUCAAGCCGUGGGUCGCUGGAGCAGUUUCACGUGAUGGGAUUUUGCCGGAAUUACCUCGCUGCCGGCUUCCGGGAAGAUUUUCCGUCCGUCCGGCUCUGCGGACUCAAGGAGAGAAAGAAAAAGUGCUUGUCAGACUAGCAACACUUGGACCUGAGAAGUGGUCAUUAUCUGUACAAAGGUCCACGUCUGCCUCCACAUGCAGACCUCAAUGAAAUGAAUAAAGCACCACAGCCUAUAACGGGACCCCCCACCACCCCCACCCUGCCCCCUCCCCCGGCCUCUCUCA